rnacentral:rRNA from 1 species
GACGAACGCUGGCGGCGUGCUUAACACAUGCAAGUCGAGCGGAAAGGCCCUUCGGGGUACUCGAGCGGCGAACGGGUGAGUAACACGUGAGUAACCUGCCCCAGACUUUGGGAUAACCCUCGGAAACGGGGGCUAAUACCGGAUACGACACAGCUUCGCAUGGGGUCUGUGUGGAAAGUUUUUCGGUUUGGGAUGGGCUCGCGGCCUAUCAGCUUGUUGGUGGGGUGAUGGCCUACCAAGGCGACGACGGGUAGCCGGCCUGAGAGGGCGACCGGCCACACUGGGACUGAGUCACGGCCCAGACUCCUACGGGAGGCAGCAGUGGGGAAUAUUGCACAAUGGGCGGAAGCCUGAUGCAGCGACGCCGCGUGAGGGAUGACGGCCUUCGGGUUGUAAACCUCUUUCAGCAGGGACGAAGCGUAAGUGACGGUACCUGCAGAAGAAGCGCCGGCCAACUACGUG